rnacentral:rRNA from 1 species
GACGAACGCUGGCGGCGUGCCUAAUACAUGCAAGUUGAGCGCUGAAGGUUGGUACUUGUACCAACUGGAUGAGCAGCGAACGGGUGAGUAACGCGUGGGGAAUCUGCCUUUGAGCGGGGGACAACAUUUGGAAACGAAUGCUAAUACCGCAUAAAAACUUUAAACACAAGUUUUAAGUUUGAAAGAUGCAAUUGCAUCACUCAAAGAUGAUCCCGCGUUGUAUUAGCUAGUUGGUGAGGUAAAGGCUCACCAAGGCGAUGAUACAUAGCCGACCUGAGAGGGUGAUCGGCCCCAUUGGGACUGAGACACGGCCCAAACUCCUACGGGAGGCAGCAGUAGGGAAUCUUCGGCAAUAGACGAAAGUCUGACCGAGCAACGCCGCGUGAGUGGAGAAGGUUUUCGGAUCGUAAAACUCGGUUGGUAGAGAAGAACGUUGGUGAGAGUGGAAAGCUCAUCAAGUGACGGUAACUACCCAGAAAGGGACGGCUAACUACGUG